rnacentral:rRNA from 1 species
UAACGGCCCACCAAGACAACGAUGGAUAGGGGUUCUGAGAGGAAGGUCCCCCACAUUGGAACUGAGACACGGUCCAAACUCCUACGGGAGGCAGCAGUGAGGAAUAUUGGUCAAUGGACGAGAGUCUGAACCAGCCAAGUAGCGUGAAGGAUGACUGCCCUAUGGGUUGUAAACUUCUUUUAUAUGGGAAUAAAACGUUCCACGUGUGGAAUUUUGUAUGUACCAUAUGAAUAAGGAUCGGCUAACUCCGUGCCAGCAGCCGCGGUAAUACGGAGGAUCCGAGCGUUAUCCGGAUUUAUUGGGUUUAAAGGGAGCGUAGGUGGAUUGUUAAGUCAGUUGUGAAAGUUUGCGGCUCAACCGUAAAAUUGCAGUUGAAACUGGCAGUCUUGAGUACAGUAGAGGUGGGCGGAAUUCGUGGUGUAGCGGUGAAAUGCUUAGAUAUCACGAAGAACUCCGAUUGCGAAGGCAGCUCACUGGACUGCAACUGACACUGAGGCUCGAAAGUGUGGGUAUCAAACAGGAUUAGAUACCCUGGUAGUCCACACAGUAAACGAUGAAUACUCGCUGUUUGCGAUAUACAGCAAGCGGC